AUUAAAAGUUUUAUUCUUGCUUAAAUAUUUACUUUUUCUUUGAAUUAUAUGAAAGUUUUGUUAAACUAAAUGUUCUUUUUUUAAGUAGUUUAAUUUAAUUAAUCAAGUGAUUUUGGAUUUAGCAAAUGAUUUAUCAUUGGCAUAUUUUGUGCCAGCAGCCGCGGUUAUACGAUUAAUACAAGUAAAUAUUAUUGGUUAUAACAGUUAACUUUAUUUUGAGAUAAAUUAAAAAUUUUUAAGGUGAAAUUUAAAAUUUUUUUAUAUUUCUUUUUAUGAAUCUGUGAAAUUUAAAUAAUAAACUAGGAUUAGAUACCCUAUUAUUUUAAACGUUAAUUAUGUUUACCAGGGUAGUAUUAGUUAUGAUCUUUAAACUCAAAGAAUUUGGCGGUACCUUAUUCCAUUCAGAGGAACCUAUUUCGUAAUUGAUAGUACACGAUUAACUUUACUUAAUUUAUUUGUUUGUAUAUCUCCGUUAUCAGAAAAUCUUUUUAGAGUUAUAAUUUUCUUAAUUUAUGAUUAUAAAUUAUUUCAGGUCAAGGUGCAGCUUAUAAUUAAGAUGAGAUGGGUUACAAUAAAUUUUUGUUUAUAACGGAUUUAAUAUUGAAAUAUUAUUAAUGAAGGUGGAUUUGAUAGUAAUUUGACAUAUUUAAUUUAAUUGAUAUUGGCUCUGAGGUGUGUACACAUCGCCCGUCGCUCUCAUUAUUAAUAUUGACUUUGAUUUAUAAGUUUAUAAUUUAAUUUAGAUGAGAUAAGUCGUAACAUAGUAGAUGUACUGGAAAGUGUAUCUAGAAAUAUUU
rnacentral:ncRNA from 1 species